rnacentral:rRNA from 1 species
AGAAUCUACUGAAAGAGUUUUCGGACAAUGGAUGUAGAGGAAAGUGGCGGACGGGUGAGUAACGCGUGAGGAACCUGCCUUGAAGAGGGGGACAACAGUUGGAAACGACUGCUAAUACCGCAUGACGCAUAGAGGUCGCAUGAUCUUUAUGCCAAAGAUUUAUCGCUUCAAGAUGGCCUCGCGUCUGAUUAGCUAGUUGGCGGGGUAACGGCCCACCAAGGCGACGAUCAGUAGCCGGACUGAGAGGUUGAACGGCCACAUUGGGACUGAGAUACGGCCCAGACUCCUACGGGAGGCAGCAGUGGGGAAUAUUGGGCAAUGGGCGCAAGCCUGACCCAGCAACGCCGCGUGAAGGAAGAAGGCUUUCGGGUUGUAAACUUCUUUUAAGAGGGAAGAGCAGAAGACGGUACCUCUAGAAUAAGCCACGGCUAACUACGUGCCAGCAGCCGCGGUAAUACGUAGGUGGCAAGCGUUGUCCGGAUUUACUGGGUGUAAAGGGCGUGCAGCCGGGUCUGCAAGUCAGAUGUGAAAUCCAUGGGCUCAACCCAUGAACUGCAUUUGAAACUGUAGAUCUUGAGUGUCGGAGGGGCAAUCGGAAUUCCUAGUGUAGCGGUGAAAUGCGUAGAUAUUAGGAGGAACACCAGUGGCGAAGGCGGAUUGCUGGACGAUAACUGACGGUGAGGCGCGAAAGUGUGGGGAGCAAACAGGAUUAGAUACCCUGGUAGUCCACACUGUAAACGAUGAAUACUAGGUGUGCGGGGACUGACCCCCUGCGUGCCGCAGUAAACACAAUAAGUAUUC